AUGAUCAUUAUACGUAGUUAGUAGUAGAUUAACUCUUUCGUUCCACGUAACUUCGUAAAAAUUCGUCUACACGCGAGUCUCUAUCGUUCUACUCCAUCGAAUAACGAUAUCUUAUUCUGUUGAACGAUCAUUUGAUGACAUUCUCAGGUGUCACAUGCAAUAGAAUCUAAACGAUCGAAAUUACAUUAUUUUUUCAAGAAAGUGUCGAAUUGUUAGAAUUAUGGGCAAAUAAUCGCCGAUAAAGUACGACCGUUCCCGUUAAGAGAACAUUUCACAAUUGACAUUCGCGAGUCAAGUUUCGGCCAGUAUUUCACAUUCAUUGUAUGCAUGUAUCCUACCAGGCACGUACGCAAUUGCAUUCAACAUAGUACAAACAAUGACAAUGAGUAGGAAGGUGAACCGAAGCGAACGAAGUCACGCACUCUGGCUACUACAUGACGCGGUAGAGAAAUGAAAAAAAGAGAGCGGAGAAAGAGAAAAGGAAGGUUACAUGUUUAGUCUGAUAACGUUAUCUUUUUCAAGCAUGAGAAUGUCGUGAAAAGAACUACAUUGUAUUCGAACUAUCGUAGAACUUCCAGUUUCUAAUUGUCUAGCAUCGUAUCAAAAUCGUGCGUAUAUUUUAGCCGUAUUUCUAACUUUCUCCGAAUACUCCAUGCUACAGUUAUCGCAUCAUAAAUGUAACAAGUACGUGUUUGUUCUCUUAUUUGUUGUUCUAAUUAACUGUUUCGAUAGUUUUACCUUCGAAAAAACAAGUUUUUCAAACUUCUCAAAGAAAUGAAAGAUACAAAGCAAACACGAGGGAAACUGGUUACUCAUACGCUCGUUAACCGCAUCUAAGAAAAAGAUACGAAAUGUCUUGUAGUUGGCACCGUUGUUACGAACAUGUACUUGAUGUCUGUUUGUCAAGUACAUUCGUAUAAACACCUCACUGGGGAAAUAAUCAAGAAGAGGAAAUGUCGGUGGUAUACGUGCAGGUUAAUCUAAUAUCCAAGCGGAACACACAUCCUUUUGUUUCUAUAAAUCUAUGAAACUUGCGUUAUAUAAUCAGCUAUAGUAAUAGUUAAUAAUCGUACCGUGUUUAAUCUUUCUUUUUACGCGUCUUAAUAAUCAGAUCUCAGGUGAGUCUAACGAAACCAGUCAAUUAUAAAACUUUAAGGAAAAUAACACAAUUAUAGCACCGAUAUACCGUUAAGGGAGCUACACCAGGUAGUACCGUUGACCUGGAGCUGCGAUAUUCCUAUGCUACCACUGACCCAAAAACAACGUUCAUUGUUUAAGAAUCAAUACAAUUACACGUUACACUCUGCAUUAGCAUACGAAGAAUGUACGUAUUUACACUCUACCGAAUGUAUUAAUGUUCUACGAAUCUUAUUCUCUAAAUAAUUCGUAUAUUUAAUUAUACUUUGAACAAGUGGCGAAAGGCUUCGUUAAGAAUCGGUAAAAUGUGAUUAAUAUAGAAAUUCGAGGAUAUAAAAAUACAUCGCGUGUCGCUAUAAACGAAAUAAAUAUCGUUUAAAAUAAAUACGCGAGUAAGUGGAAUAUUAAUGGAAGAGGUAUUUAUUUAAGAGCAUCACGAACAGUCACGGUCCAGAAAUCAUUCGUUUCUUUGAACCCUCUCGAUUCUUAAUUUAUUAAGUCCAUAAAUGAAAUUAAUAAACCAACAGGAAAUAUGCUUCAGUGAUGGAAAAAUCGCAUCGUGAACUUUGGUAAGUCCAUUUAAACAACCAGCGAAACUCUGAUCUGUUUUCUUGUUCAAUUGCAUACGUGCGUUCUAACCAUCGAAUUACAGGAGAAAGUGGCCAGGUUAAAUUACAAUGGUUUCGUAAAUGUUAGAGUACGGAUCGGGUAUGUAUGUAUGAGUAUCGGAUUAAAUUGAUCUAUUUGUCGAUCAAUUGUCAAACCUACAUCAACGCAAAGCUGAUAUAACUCUGUGGGUGGAAAAAAUGAAAUUGUUGCAGUCGAAGCACGAAUCUGUGAAAACAGUGAAAUUUUCUCACGUCGAACAGACACUAGCAAGGAAGUUCUCUCGACUUUUUCCCAAAAGAUCAUGUUCGACGACAUUAGAAUGUCGACAUUAGAAUAGUGGAUUGCGCAACAGGUUGCGCGGUUCAUCGACGGUGAAACAAUCUGUGUGCGAUCGAGAUCAUUGGCCUUUAUAAACAUGACUAAACAGUAUGCAACGGCUAGUAAUAUUUCUUUUCAGCAAGAACUAAUUACAAGUAAUUCAAAUUUUGAAAUUCUCCGUUUCUCGACGACUCGGUGCUUUAAGAGCGAGCAAGAGCGAAAUAUAAAAGAAAAACCAUCUUAAGAUUAUAACACUACAUGAGAAACAAAAUCGAUUGUCCGCGCUGUAUGUAGCAAGGAAAUUGAUUAAACGAUAUACGUGAAAGAAAAUAAGAUCUAUUUGUUAGGCUCUUACCGUAACGCGUUUCAUCGAGCGCAUGCAUUCGUGACGAAACUGUAAAGCAUGCGCACGUUUAAACAGUACACAGGACAACGAACAAUUAUCGCAACUUUCGUCGUUGACCAUUCCUGACAUGCAGCGCGCGCGUGUUCUAGAUCUUCGAGUUACACAUUUAAUCACAAUUAAUCAUAAAAUGAAAGAAUUCGUCGGUUGCUUAAUUCUUAACGCACAACACAUUAGACGCCGUAAUACGAAGGAAACGAGCCAGAAUUGCUUGCAACGCCAUGCGACAAGCAUCGAUUCGACGAUCUCGUUGCUGAUAAACGAAAGAACGUUGCUACUUUCCAAGUGAAACUAGAUAAAAUGUACCGGUGGUUUGCGUAAGAAGGAUCUAAAGCGCAAGUACUGUCAAGCAUGGAUGAGUAACGACCAACAACUAACUCGUUAAGCGAAUUCUCGUUUCCGGUGAGUGUGGCAAUAAGAUUGAACAAACGAGAAUGAAAGAUGCGGUUCGUGGAUUUAGCAAGCAUCCAGAACGGAAUAGUUUACUGUCCUUAAUAAUAACCUCGGAAAAUACAAUAUUAAAAAUAAGAAACCGAGUAUUAGUAACUUUAUGUUCCAAGUUUUGAUCUAUAGUUCGAGUCGUGCGAUCUAUGGAAUAUUUUCCUGGGUCCUAGUGGUUUCUAUCGUCGACGUGGUAAAACUUUAACGAGUAAUAGCAAGAAAGGGAAAUCUCACCGUCUGGAAGCGAUGCGUUGCGGACUUGUCGCCGUGCUGGAAGGUGGACUCGUAGAAGCACCGCCAAAAGAGCUGGAGCAUGUCGUGAUUCCCGAAGCAGUUGUAUCACUGCCCGUAGUCGACGAUAAAACGCUGCUUUGCCUCGAAGUAAUGUCGCGACUUCGCGUUCUUUGCGAUCGACUUGCUCUAAAUUGUCUUCCGCCUCUCCUCGAUGGCACUACAUUUGAAUUAUUCGAGUUUCUUACAGGAGCGCUGGAUGGCCUAAGGAGGGUGCCGGAAGUACCGUUCGUUUGGGCAGCUAAUAUCUCUGGAGCGAUUAAAGCGAUAUCUGGCAAAGAAUUUGGCGCGGAUACGACAGCUCCGUGGCAACCGUUCAAAUCAAUGUUUCGUUGUCGUUCAGUUUCUUCCGGUAAUCUCAAAUGACGCAAACGUCUCAUCGAAGCCCGUACCCAAGAAUUAACAAGCGUAGGGUUGUCACGUGUUUCGCGA